UAAUAUUAUUUAUUUAUUUAAAAUUUAUAUGACAAUAAUAUAAAUUUAAUAAAAAUAAUUAAUAUAUAAAUUCUUUAAAUAUAAUUAAGUAAGCGAGUAUUUUAGUAUAUACUCGUUUUUCUACAUUAUUUUUUCAUCAGAUUUACACCGUUGGAUUAAACUGAAUCCAACGGUCAAAUUUAGGGCAAACUUAAAAGAAAAAAGAAAAUCUAAAAAAGUCAUUCUCCUCUCUUCACGAGAUCUCUCUGCAUCUUUGGUGGCUUUUUAUCGUUGGUCAGCCUACUUCCUCCCUUAACGCAUCAAUUAUGGUUUCUCGUCGUCGAUUUCCUUGUUGUCUGCCACCUGUAGCCAUCGCUGCCGUCCUCCCCAAGAGGCAAAGGAUAUAAUAUCUUGGGAGGAUGGCAGCGACCGCUACAGGUGGUGGACAGAUGACAACGACAACAAAAGAGCAGAAUAGAUGCGUUAAGGGAGGAAGUGGCUUCACCGGCGAUAAAAGGCCAGCAAAGAUGAAAAGAGAUGUCGUGAAGAGUGGAGGGUGACUCUUUUAGAAUCUGUUUUCUUUUAAUUUUGACCGUUGGAUUCAGUUUCAUCCAAGGGUGUAAAACUGAUGUAAAAAAUAAUGUAGAAAAAUGUGUCUAUUGAACGGGUCCCAAUAUAUAUAUGUAUAAAAAAUGUACAUGCAAUUGGCCCUUAGUUAACUCUACAAACCGAAUGCAUUAUUGGUUUUAUCAUUAGCAAUUGAAGGGCAUUUAGAACUUUGGUUUU